rnacentral:rRNA from 1 species
UACGUAGGUGGCAAGCGUUGUCCGGAUUUACCGGGCGUAAAGAGCGCGCAGGCGGUCGUUCAAGUCGAGUGUGAAAGCCCCCGGCUCAACUGGGGAGGGUCACUCGAUACUGAUCGACUCGAAGGCAGAAGAGGGAAGCGGAAUUCCCGGUGUAGUGGUGAAAUGCGUAGAUAUCGGGAGGAACACCAGUGGCGAAGGCGGCUUUCUGGUCUGCUCUUGACGCUGAGGCGCGAAAGCUAGGGUAGCAAACGGG